rnacentral:rRNA from 1 species
GACGAACGCUGGCGGCGUGCUUAACACAUGCAAGUCGAACGAUGAAGCUAGAGCUUGCUCUGGUGGAUUAGUGGCGAACGGGUGAGUAACACGUGAGUAACCUGCCCCGAACUCUGGGAUAACUGCUGGAAACGGUAGCUAAUACCGGAUAUGACCAAUGAAGGCAUCUUCUGUUGGUGGAAAGAAUUUCGGUUCGGGAUGGACUCGCGGCCUAUCAGCUUAUUGGUGAGGUAACGGCUCACCAAGGCGACGACGGGUAGCCGGCCUGGGAGGGUGAUCGGCCACACUGGGACGGAGACACGGCCCAGACUCCUACGGGAGGCAGCAGUGGGGAAUAUUGCACAAUGGGCGCAAGCCUGAUGCAGCAACGCCGCGUGAGGGACGACGGCCUUCGGGUUGUAAACCUCUUUUAGUAGGGAAGAAGCGAAAGUGACGGUACCUGCAGAAAAAGCACCGGCUAACUACGUGCCAGCCGCCGCAGUAA